rnacentral:lncRNA from 1 species
CUCUUCUGUUUGUUAAUCACUUGCCACGUCAAUUCAAUGACAAAUCCCUGUCUAUAACUUAAUUUACUGGAUAAGGAAGAAAUUUUUCUCCCUUUAUUUAUGGAUAAGAAACCAAUUAAUGAAAUACAUAUUUCACAGUCUAUCCUAGUUUCUGGAUAAAGGAAUACUAUCAGGUUGGGAGAAAUACUAGAUAAGGAAUUUUCGCCAGGUGGACAAGGAACUGCACUAAGAUAAGCUUUAUUGUCUGUAUGUUGUGAUUGUCUGAUUUACGGUUUUUAAUUUAUUUUUUAAUCUCGGACAAAAUCAUCUGAAAACCGACCAAAUUUGGAAAACUCUCUGAAAUGUAUAAUUAUCCUGUCAGCAUCAAAUAGUAAAUUCAUAUAUAUUAAUAUAUAUAACAUAGUCAGCAAUGUAUAUCUUCCAAUUUGAUUUGUAGGGUUUUAUAUAUUAUUGUAAGGAUAUAUGGGAGAGCACCAUGGUGAAACCAAAAAAGGUGGGUUGAAUUUUCAUGUAAUUAUUUAAAACCAAACCUAUGCCUUUUCUUGUAAGCUAAUUUCUUGAUUGUUCUUGUUUCAGAAGUUGCUGGGAGUAAGGAUUCCCUACUGGAAUUUUCUGAAGAUGAAGAAAUGCUCAUGGCAAGAAUGUUCAAUCUGCUUGGACCAAGGUUAGUUUGCAAUCAAAUCACUGUGUGUGAUUUUUAUCCUUAAAAGCUGUUUCAUCCGUUGGUGUUCGCGUUCGAGAGAGAGAGGGACGGGAGAGAGAGUUGGGUUUUUGAUGUGUUUGUUUGGAGCAGGUGGACUUUAAUUGCUGGAAGAAUACCAGGAAGAACAGCAGAAGAGAUUGAGAAGUACUGGAAUUCAAAGGCUUUGGCUAAAGAUAACAAACAUUUGGAUCUCAAGUUUCAACAGUCCACAAAUGAUAUGUAGAUACAUAUGUCGUGUUCUUAUGAACCUAUUAUAAUUAUGUCUUGUAUAAUAUGUAAGGUAGUCGUCGUUAUUAAGUCUUAAUUGGAUCAAAUUACUCGUUAGAAUUUAAUAAGAUCUGAUAUCAUAUUAAAACUCGGGAUUUCAUCUUAAAAGAUCAAUCUGAUUAAGAGAAGCAGUCCAAGUUCUUAUUAGUUAGUCUAUAUUUUCAUUUGUAUUCAAUGUGAAAUUUUAUCCCUUAAGAGUCGAAAAUGGAAUUACUGUCAAUUGUAAGUUUCUACGUUAAUAUUUUCAUUUAUUUUUCAGCAAUUGAAUCUGGUGUGGAAAAAUCCCUG